AUUGCAGGCUGCAACUCGCCUGCAUGAAGUCGGAAUUGCUAGUAAUCUAGGUCAGCAUACUACGGUGAAUACGUUCCCGGGCCUUGUACACACCGCCCGUCAAACCAUGAGAGUUGGCAACACCCGAAGUCGGUAGUCUAACCGCAAGGAGGACGCCGCCGAAGGUGGAGCCGAUGACUGGGGUGAAGUCGUAACAAGGUAUC
rnacentral:rRNA from 1 species